rnacentral:rRNA from 1 species
CAAAAACAUCGCCUCUUGAAAUUUAACCAUAAGAGGUCCCGCCUGCCCUGUGACCAUGUGUUUAACGGCCGCGGUAUUUUGACCGUGCAAAGGUAGCGCAAUCACUUGUCUUUUAAAUGGAGACCUGUAUGAAUGGCACGACGAGGGCUUAACUGUCUCCUUUUUCCAGUCAAUGAAAUUGAUCUUCCCGUGCAGAAGCGGGAAUACCAACAUAAGACGAGAAGACCCUGUGGAGCUUUAGACACUAAGCCAGACCAUGUCAAAUAUCCUUCUCAAGGGACUGAACCUAUUGGACCCCCUGUCCUGAUGUCUUUGGUUGGGGCGACCUCGGGGAAACAAAAAACCCCCGCGUGGAACGGGAAUAUUCCGCUCCCUAAAAACUAAGAGCCACAGCUCGAAUUAACAGAACUUCUGACCAAUUACAGAUCCGGCUUUUUAACGCCGAUCAACGGACCGAGUUACCCCAGGGAUAACAGCGCAAUCCCCUUUUAGAGCCCAUAUCGACAAGGGGGUUUACGACCUCGAUGUUGGAUCAGGACAUCCUAAUGGUGCAGCCGCUAUUAAGGGUUCGUUUGUUCAACGAUUAAAGUCCUACGUGAUCUGA